AUCUGUUGUCUAUUUUUAUUUCCUUUAUUCUUAGUAUCUUGAAACUUAACGGACAUUAGCAUUAAGGUGAUUCAAAAAGUGAGAAAUUAGGUGUUACCAAAUUGGUUGGAAACUUUUCGUAAAACCAUUUGAUGGACUAACCUUGUGUUUGUAUUAUAUCUGGCAGGCUCAUCGUUAGCAACCAGGACAACUGGUAUUUGGACCAUAUAGAUAAGCCAUGGCAUGAUUUCUAUUCAAAUGAGCCACUAACUAAUAUUACAUAUUUUGAUCAACAACGGCUGGUUAUUGAUGGUGAAGUAUGUAUGUGGGGUGAGCAUAUUGAUGGAUCAAACAUCGAAACAACCAUAUGGCCUCGUGCAGCAGCAGUUGCAGCUGGAGUACUUUCUGCACUAAAGAGAGGCUAUGGACCGCUUGUGACAACAUUGCCAAGAAUCCAAAAGCUACUCGCAAGCUGGCGUAUUUCAGGUGCUUAUUGAAUCAAAGAGGAGUGGCGUCUGGUCCAUUAACCGGAGGUGGGCGAGCUGCACCAGAAGAACCAGGUUCUUUCUCUGAGCAAUAGUUACCUAAAGAACUAGGUUCUUUUUCGUCUCAUUCUUUAAUCAAUCCCUAGAAUAAAUUAAAAUUCAUAUAUAUGGUGCUUCUGAGUAUUAGGAGGUGGUUAUGCAUCAGAAGUAGUCGAUAUACAUUGUAAGGCAACACUCUGUUGCUAUUCUUUCAAAUGAAUAUAUAUGGAAGUUAUAUCAGUCUUAUUAUAAGUUCAUUGGCAGUCAAUUGUUGUCUCACAACAAACCUUAUUACAUGUUUUCGUCAAGGCAAAUUAUGACACUAUACACAAUGUUGUCAAAGGCGCGUUUAAGCCCAGAAGUGAGUCUCAAAAUGUGUUGAGUGCUUCGUCUCGCUUAAUGUGUGUUUUAGUCUGUCAUCAAGGCUCCAAGACAUUCUUUACUUGCCGACGAGUCUGUUCCACACUCAUAAUUUUUUUUUUAAAUUCUUUAUUCAUGUGUUUGUCAUUCAUCCUUAUAAUUAUUAGUCUUGGACUAAACACAUAUAUUUGCAUGUAUUCCUUCUCCUUUUGCACCUUUUUUCUAUAAAGCCCGCGCUUAACUUGCACUUCGCGUUUCUAAUCCUAACGGAUCUUAGAGUUCUUUUGCGCUUUUUGCUUUUGAUAACACUAACUGUACAUGAGCCUAGGCCUUUUCAGAUUGGAAGAAGUAUAGGAAAAGUAAAUGUAAACAUGGUUUCAAUCAGAUUUCAAGCUACAAGAUUAGUCAAAGCAGUGCAAAAGUCUUGAACACAGAAACCUUGACUAUUAUAAUCUUGAAAGAGGUAUUUCGUUAUGGUUAUGAAAGCAUUUGAUAGAAAAUACAAAAAUACCAUCUCAUGAAUUCAUCCUAUUUCAUUAGAUUCAGGAUGUGAUAUGGCUCUAGAGGAUGAAACGGAUAUGGACAGCAUCAAUAAGAUUUCAUUCUUGAACAAAAAUCCUUUUUUCUUACUUAUCUUGUCUAUUCCAUGAUCGAAACAAGAGAAGAUACACAUUAUACUGUCAAUCAUAAGGGAUUAGCCUUUUCUGUUUA